rnacentral:lncRNA from 1 species
GCAUUACUUACCUGUUCUCAUGAGAGAUCUUCUCCACUCAGCUAGACUAUGAAUUGCCCAAGGCCAUGAGCAGCUGCUGAGCAUCAUCUUGUGAUCACUCCACCAAAAGCCAGGCAGGUAGGCAGUGUGACUGCCAAGGACGUGAAGCCGACAGUCAGCAGCGUUGUUGACCACACAAAGGAAAGGAAGAGAAAGCAGGGAUGAGGCACGAGCCUGAUGAAGCUGUGCGCCUGCCCGGGAAGUUGAAAUCUUCUCCUCCGUGAUUGUCUUUCCUACGACCCGGGUCCUGCAGCUAAGCGUGCUCUCCAGCAGGUCCAGC